AUGAGCGCCUUACUAUGAUCUUUUGGGAUUUUUUCCCUCCAAUUCGGGAGCGGGAACCGGAAUCGGGAACCAUGCGAUCGCGGUGUCAUCACGUGGUAGAAAAUGAAACUUUGAUUUGCCGCCUGUCGGGUAUUGAAUUGAAUACAAGUUAGAGCAGAACUACACCAGCGCCGCCAUUACACUACACGCAUUUCAUACAUCCAUUGAUUCAUCAUGAAAGCGGUGAAAGUGUGGGUCUCGUGGUCGAAAUGUUGUUUUGCUUCUACAACUGGUAUUAUUCGCGUGUUUUUGGGUAUGUUUUGUCCUGUGGCUAGAUACGUACGUAUAUAAAUAUUUAAACUACGAUGGUCACGUUAGUUAAAUCAGCUCUAUGAAAUUUGUUAAAAUCUUAAUGGGAAUCUAUUUACAAUAUCAAUUGAACAAUUUUGAGCUCCAGUUUGUCAAUUGAUGAAGGAUUCACCAUGAGGAAGGGUUUACCGGUGUUCAGAUCAUGGUAUAAUAGGUUGAGACAAAUUCUAUUAAGACUUAACCUAUUAUACCAUGGUUCGGAUUACAUGGGGUAUCUCUUGAUUUAGUUAUUGUAUUUACUAUUGUAUGACAUGAUUUCUUGAAAUAUUUCCUGUAUAACUUUCCUAUUUGAUAGUGCAGAUUGCUGGAGGGAAGCAGGAUGUUUGUGGAUGAUUCUGAUAGCAGUUUAAAGAGCGUGAAUGUUAAUUGCUUGCUCAACCUUCUUGCCAUAAGGUUGCUUGUCAUGAUUUCUACUGAAUCUGAACAGAACAAAAUAGAAUUUCUUUUUUAUGGUGAUUAGUGUGUUUUAAAAAUGAAGUCUUUUCAGUGGUGAUUAAUGUUUUUCCCAGGAUAUUUCUAUAUGUAGCACCAGAGGUGUAUUGCAAACUAAACCAGUUGGUUUUCGAUUCUGGCUGUACUCCUAUGUUGAUUAAAGGCCUUCUACUCGAAUCAUUCUGGUGACUAGAAUAUGACAUAAUCUAUGCCCAUAUCCUGCAUGUCAAAGGUUGGCUUAAGUAGACAUCCUUUUCUUUAGUUGCUUGUCUGUCCUGUACUGUGUUCAAAAAAGGAUCUUCUAUUGUGCAAGGGGGUAAGGGACUGGUGACACAUCCCAGACACCCAAAAAUGUACUAUAUUUAUAUGUUAUUUGAAAUGAUGUAAGUUGGUUGGACCAGUACUCUUCAUAUUCGGAUUUGCCGAUGCGGUUAGGUUUGAAGCGAUUAAUUGAAUAUGGUUAGAUUAAUAGUUGAGUCGCAGUUGAUAAACCCGAUUCCACUAUUUAUUCUUACUUUUGAUUGAUAUAUACCAUUCUCAUGUGUUUGAUAUAUUUUCCAUUUUACUAUUGUUUGGUAAAAAUGCAGCUCUUAACAUGCCAUCCAAACAGUCUGCAAAGUGAACCAUAUUUCAUCCAUUUACCUAGGAAAUUUCCAUUUGACAAUAUAAUUCUAUCUGCAGUUUGAACAUUUACACCUAAAUGUACACACGCCUUAAAUCACAGAGCAAAAUAGGGAGAUUAUAAUGUGACUCAUGGCUCAUUGGUUGCGCAUCGGCCAGGUAUGCUGUAAUGUAAAGGUUCGAUUCCUUACAGAGUCAAUUUGAAAUAAAAUGUGAAUUAAAAAGAAUAUUCUAAUGGCAAUAUGGCACUUUCAAACAGUGUGUUCUUAAAUAAAUUAUUUCCAUGAAAAGUUCACUAUUUAGCAUGCGAUGCUUGCAGAUUGGCAAUUCAACUAUGAUACACUGAUGAGAUCUAUAUAGUCGCCUCAAUCUGUAAAUAACGAACUUGUAAAUCAUCAUGGAAGGAUAAGAGCAUUGUACAAAAUGAAAACAAAAUUAUAGGAAAAAGAAACAUUUUUGAAAAAAAAAUUUACGCAUUUUGUAUUGAUAUAUAACCUGUAAAGUAUGCUCCAGUUUACUACACUGAGGGUCCCAAAUAUUCGGCCCAAAAAUACACUACAACAUAUGCUGCUCCAAGCUAUUAUAUCCUCAACACUAUACCACAAAGGCAGCUGAGUACUACACCACAACAUACGCUGCUCCGGCUUACUACACUGAGGCUCCUGAAUACUACACAAACACUUACGCUGCCCCAGCUUACUACACUGAGGCACCUAAAUAUUACCAGACUGAGGCUCCAAGAUAUUAUACUAAAAAGGCCCCCGAGUAUACCACAUCAUAUGCUGCACCGAGCUACUACACUGAAGCUCCGAAAUACUACACAACAACCUAUGCAACCCCAUCCUACUACACUGAGGCUCCCAAGUACUAUUAAUCGUGAAAAUUGCGUUGUCCAUCAAGCUCGACGAUGGAAUAUUCAGAUUUGAUUUUAUCAUUUACAGUCCUCGUUCCAGGAUAAGUAUUUCCAUUUAUGCAUUCACUAGUCGUUCCAUACAAAUGUUUCCAAAUGAAUUGUUGAAUACAGAUAUAAUGCCGUUAA